AGUACGUGAAACCGUUCAGGGGUAAACCUGAGAAACCCAAAAGAUCGAAUGAGGAGAUUCAUCGUCAGCUCAUUUUGUAUAUGUACAAGUUAUGAUGUGNNAGUUACUCUUNNGUAGUAUUGCUNUGUACGUACUUGUGCAUUUAUUUGCAAGAUGUUGUCGGCGUGCACUUCUCCUCUAGUAGGACGUCGCGACCCGUUGGGUGUCGGUCUACGACCCGAGNUGGGAGACUUUAAUAUUNNUUANNUAAUAUUAAAGACCCUUGGUGUUNUUCUGACCGACUGCCCGGCGGUACUCGUACGGUAUUUAGCCGCAUNUUNANNNUUUGCGUCCAUGUCCAUCGCAAGC
rnacentral:rRNA from 1 species